rnacentral:pre_miRNA from 1 species
AGAGAAAUAGCUGGGUCAAAUGGUGGUUCCAUACCCAGCCUUCCAAGGAAUCUCCAUAUUGCUUUCCAAAUUGGCUGCACUAAUUUGCAGUCCCACCAGCAGU